UACAGAGGUCCCAAGCGUUGUUCGGAUUUACUGGGCGUAAAGGGUGCGUAGGUGGUUGGGUAAGUCUGAUGUGAAAUCUCCGGGCUCAACCCGGAAAUGGCAUUGGAUACUAUUCGACUAGAGGGUUGGAGGGGGGACUGGAAUACUUGGUGUAGCAGUGAAAUGCGUAGAUAUCAAGUGGAACACCAGUGGCGAAGGCGAGUCCCUGGACAGCUCCUGACACUGAGGCACGAAAGCUAGGGGAGCAAACAGG
rnacentral:rRNA from 1 species